GCUUGGCUGGCUCAUUUGGUAGAGCAUGUGACUCUUGAUCUCAGGGUGGUGAGUUCGAGCCCCACCUUGGGUA
rnacentral:tRNA from 1 species